rnacentral:rRNA from 1 species
AGUGAACGCUGGCGGCAGGCCUAACACAUGCAAGUCGAGCGGCAGCGCGGGGGCAACCCUGGCGGCGAGCGGCGGACGGGUGAGGAAUUCGUCGGAAUCUGCCUUUUUGUGGGGGAUAACGUAGGGAAACUUACGCUAAUACCGCAUACGUCCUACGGGAGAAAGUGGGGGACCGCAAGGCCUCACGCAGAAAGAUGAGCCGACGACCGAUUAGCUAGUUGGUGGGGUAAAGGCCCACCAAGGCGACGAUCGGUAGCUGGUCUGAGAGGAUGAUCAGCCACACUGGGACUGAGACACGGCCCAGACUCCUACGGGAGGCAGCAGUGGGGAAUAUUGGACAAUGGGCGCAAGCCUGAUCCAGCCAUGCCGCGUGUGUGAAGAAGGCCUUCGGGUUGUAAAGCACUUUUGUCCGGAAAGAAAUCCCUGGAGCUAAUACCUUCGGGGGAUGACGGGACCGGAAGAAUAAGCACCGGCUAACUUCGU